AACAAACGCUGGCGGCGUGACUAACACAUGCAAGUCGUACGAGAAAGGGUCCUUUGGGGCCUGAGUAAAGUGGCGCACGGGUGAGUAACGCGUGGAUAAUCUGCCCUUCAGUUGGGAAUAACACAUCGAAAGGUGGGCUAAUACCGAAUAAUGCUGUGAGACCUCGGUUGAUCAGCCAAAGACAGCCUCUGCUUGCAAGCCCUCGCUGAAGGAUGAGUCCGCGUACCAUUAGCUAGUUGGUAGGGUAAUGGCCUACCAAGGCGACGAUGGUUAGCUGGUCUGAGAGGAUGAUCAGCCAGGCUGGAACUGAGACACGGUCCAGACUCCUACGGGAGGCAGCAGUGAGGAAUCGUGCGCAAUGGGGGCAACCCUGACGCAGCAACUCCGCGUGAGGGAGGAAGGUCUUCGGAUCGUAAAGCUCUGUCGGAUGGAAAGAUCCGCGUAGGGGUGAACAGCCCCUGUGUCUGACGGUACCAUCAAAGUAAGCACCGGCUAACUCCGUGCCAGCCGCCGCGGUAAUAC
rnacentral:rRNA from 1 species